rnacentral:tRNA from 1 species
AAACUGCGAAAAAAGAGCAUAGGUCCCACCGAGAUUUGAACUCGGGUCGCAGGAUUCAGAGUCCUGAGUGCUAACCGCUACACCAUGGAACCGCGGUGUACAG